rnacentral:rRNA from 1 species
GACGAACGCUGGCGGCGUGCUUAACACAUGCAAGUCGAACGGAAAGGCCCUGCUUUUGUGGGGUGCUCGAGUGGGGAAAGGGUGAGUAACACGUGAGUAACCUGCCCUUGGCUUUGGGAUAAAUUCAGGAAACUGGGGCUAAUACCGGAUAGGAGCUCCUGCUGCAUGGUGGGGGUUGGAAAGUUUCGGCGGUUGGGGAUGGACUCGCGGCUUAUCAGCUUGUUGGUGGGGUAGUGGCUUACCAAGGCUUUGACGGGUAGCCGGCCUGAGAGGGUGACCGGCCACAUUGGGACUGAGAUACGGCCCAGACUCCUACGGGAGGCAGCAGUGGGGAAUAUUGCACAAUGGGCGGAAGCCUGAUGCAGCAACGCCGCGUGCGGGAUGACGGCCUUCGGGUUGUAAACCGCUUUCGCCUGUGACGAAGCGUGAGUGACGGUAAUGGGUAAAGAAGCACCGGCUAACUACGUG